ACAACGCCAUAGACUCCAAUGGAACGGUUUUUUACAGCAAUUGCGGCUCGUGGAGCCUCUCAAUAGUUCCCGGAAGUAGCAGCCGCGCCGUAGAGUUACAGCAGAACAGACCGUUUGUGAUGUACUUUUAAAAGCACAAAGGGGAUUCAGAUCCUGAAGAAUCCAUGCAAUGAUGCUGUCACCGCCAGUCUCUGCUCCUUGGAUUUUGCAAGCUUUUCCUUGCUCCUUAUUUUUAAUAAACCUUUAAUAAACA